CCUACGGGCGGCAGCAGUGAGGAAUAUUGGUCAAUGGACGGAAGUCUGAACCAGCCAUGCCGCGUGCAGGAAGACGGCCCUAUGAGUUGUAAACUUCUUUUGUCCAAGGGCAAACCUUAAUACGUGUAUUCAGCUGAAAGUACUUUACGAAUAAGGAUCGGCUAACUCCGUGCCAGCAGCCGCGGUAAUACGGAGGAUCCAAGCGUUAUCCGGAUUUAUUGGGUUUAAAGGGUGCGUAGGCGGAUUGAUAAGUUAGAGGUGAAAUGUCCGAGCUUAACUCGGGAACUGCCUCUAAAACUGUUGAUCUAGAGAGUAGAUGAGGUAGGCGGAAUGCAUGGUGUAGCGGUGAAAUGCAUAGAGAUCACACAGAACACCGAUUGCGAAGGCAGCUUACC
rnacentral:rRNA from 1 species